GCGAAUUGCUACGAUAUCGUUAUAAUGCCCGACCUUGUUCCUGUUCUCAGGGUGAAUUUUCCCCUUAACAGGUGACAAAUCGGUGACGUCGGGUUAUUUUCU
rfam:Hammondia hammondi strain H.H.34 contig03703, whole genome shotgun sequence.